AACAGAUUCUAACAGGAGACAUUAGUCCUGUGAUCUGGUUGAUAUACCUGAUGAUCAGGUACUGGACAUAAGAGCGUCUGUAACAGGAGACAUUAGUCCUGUGGUCUGGUUGAUAUACCUGAUGAUCAGGUACUGGACAUAAGAGAGUCUGUAACAGGAGACAUUAGUCCUGUGGUCUGGUUGAUAUACCUGAUGAUCAGGUACUGGACAUAAGAGAGUCUGUAACAGGAGACAUUAGUCCUGUGGUCUGGUUGAUAUACCUGAUGAUCAGGUACUGGACAUAAGAGAGUCUGUAACAGGAGACAUUAGUCCUGUGGUCUGGUUGAUAUACCUGAUGAUCAGGUACUGGACAUAAGAGAGUCUGUAACAGGAGACAUUAGUCCUGUGGUCUGGUUGAUAUACCUGAUGAUCAGGUACUGGACAUAAGAGAGUCUGUUCUUGUUCCAUCAUCAGAGUCUGUAACAGAUUCUAACAGGAGACAUUAGUCCAUCAUUCCAUUCAAUUCAACUCUAUCAGUUCCUGAGGGAGAUCAGAAAGACAUUGUUUAUGGGGAAAACAUAUAUAGAAUAACCAGGAAAUGGAUAUAAACCCAUAACAGACAUGGGUAGUAAAA